rnacentral:rRNA from 1 species
CAGUCGCCACGGUAAUACAGAGGGUGCGAGCGUUAAUCGGAUUUACUGGGCGUAAAGCGCGCGUAGGCGGUUACUCAAGUCAGAGGUGAAAGCCCGGGGCUCAACCCCGGAACUGCCUUUGAAACUAGGUGACUAGAAUCUUGGAGAGGUCAGUGGAAUUCCGAGUGUAGAGGUGAAAUUCGUAGAUAUUCGGAAGAACACCAGUGGCGAAGGCGACUGACUGGACAAGUAUUGACGCUGAGGUGCGAAAGCGUGGGGAGCAAACAGGAUUAGAGACCCGCGUAGUCCCUGUCUCUUAUAA